rnacentral:rRNA from 1 species
CUACGGGCGGCUGCAGUGGGGAAUAUUGGACAAUGGGGGAAACCCUGAUCCAGCAAUGCCGCGUGUGUGAAGAAGGCCUGCGGGUUGUAAAGCACUUUCGGUUGGGAGGACUGCUUCUAGCACUAAUAUUGUUGGAAGUUGACGUUACCUUCAGAAGAAGCACCGGCUAACUCCGUGCCAGCAGCCGCGGUAAUAGCGGAGGGUGCAAGCGUUAAUCGGAAUUACUGGGCGUAAAGCGCGCGUAGGCGGCUAGAUCAGUCGGGUGUGAAAGCCCGGGGCUUAACCUGGGAACUGCAUCCGUACUGUCUAGCUUGAGUACAGGAGAGGAGAGUGGAAUUCCACAUGUAGCGGUGAAAUGCGUAGAUAUGUGGAGGAACACCAAUGGCGAAGGCAGCUCUCUGGCCUGAUACUGACGCUGAGGUGCGAAAGCGUGGGGAGCAAACAGGAUUAGAUACCCGAGUAGUC